rnacentral:rRNA from 1 species
UACAGAGGGUGCAAGCGUUGUUCGGAAUUAUUGGGCGUAAAGGGUACGUAGGCGGCGCUAUCAGUCGGGUGUGAAAUCCCUCGGCUCAACCGAGGAACUGCGCCCGAUACUGUAGUGCUUGAGGGAGACAGAGGUAAGCGGAACUGAUGGUGGAGCGGUGAAAUGCGUAGAUAUCUGGAGGAACACCGGUGGCGAAGGCGGCAUCCUGGACCGGCAUUGACGCUGAGGCGCGAAA